rnacentral:rRNA from 1 species
CUACGGGGGGCUGCAGUAGGGAAUUUUCGGCAAUGGGGGAAACCCUGACCGAGCAACGCCGCGUGAAUGACGACGUACUUCGGUAUGUAAAGUUCUUUUAUCAAGGAAGAAUGACGGAUGGAAAAAUCCGUGUGACGGUACUUGAUGAAUAAGCCCCGGCUAACUAUGUGCCAGCAGCCGCGGUAAUACAUAGGGGGCGAGCGUUAUCCGGAAUGAUUGGGCGUAAAGGGUGCGUAGGCGGCCAUUUAAGUCUGAGGUAUAAGUGCAGUGCUUAACGCUGUGAUGCUUUAGAAACUGGGUGGCUAGAGUGUGGUAGAGGUAAGUGGAAUUCCAUGUGUAGCGGUAAAAUGCGUAAAUAUAUGGAGGAACACCAGUGGCGAAGGCGGCUUACUGGGCCACAACUGACGCUGAGGCACGAAAGCGUGGGGAGCAAACAGGAUUAGAUACCCUAGUAGUC